GGUGCUAAAGGUCAGUUUUCUGUUUGGUCCUUUUAUCGGAGUUUAUGAGGGAGGUGGUAGGAGCGUUUCCUUGGAGGAGUAUUUGGGUGCCUCGAGUUCCUUCUAAGGUGAUUUUCUUCUUACGGACUGUUGCUUUGGGUCAGAAUCUUACAGUUGACAAUCUGGUUCGUUGAGGGCAUGUGAUAGUGAAUCGCUAUUGUAUGUGUUGUGAUAAUGUAGAGUCGGUUGGUCAUUUAUUUCUUCAUUGUUCCAUUGCUUUGCAUCUUUGGGGGCUGAUUUGUUCUCUUUUUAGGAUUAUUUGGGUGCAGCCAAAAGGGGUUGUGGAUAUGCUGUGGAGUUGGAGGGGGGCUCGGGUUGGGUGGCAUUGGCGACAGGUGUAGUCGUUAGUGCUUUUUUGUUUGAUGUGGUUGGUUUAGUUGGAGAGGAAUAGGUGAACUUUUCAAGAGAUUUAUCAUUCGGUGUCGUGUCUAGAGAAUCGACUUUAGUUACUAUGUAUAGUUGGCUAGAGAGUAGUGUUGAUCCAGAUUUGUUUGCUUUCUUAGAUUUUUUGGAUGAUGAAAUUAGUUAGGUGUGUUUUGUUUUUCUUUUCUGGUUUCCUUAUAUUCUUCGCAUCAUCUUAAUACUUUCUCAAUAGAGUUUUAUUAUUUAUCAAAAAAAUAAAAUAAAUGCUUUCUAUGUCCUCAGAUUUGCAUUAUGGUGUAUGAAGUAGAUUUAUUUUAAUAUCAAAUGUUGAUGAAGUGGUGCUCACAGAACCAAGCACAUACUGCUGAUAAAUCAAGAUUCUUAAAUUUGUAUCAUCAUAAGGGUUAUUAGUGCUAGGAAUAUAUUGGUGGAUUUUAAGGAACAAAGGGUAUCAAGUGUUAUGGUCUUGUGCCGUCUUUGUAACUUUUUGGGUUCUAUGGUUGGAAAGAAAUGCGCGGUUGUUCGAAGAUAAAUUUCGGGAAGUGGACUGUUUAUGGGAUAAAGUUUGUUACUUAACUUUCUUUUGGGCUUCGGGGAAUUCUCUCUUUAAGGGGGUGCCACUUUUUUUGUUAGCUAGAGCAAUGUUGUGAGGCGCAGCGAGGCGCAGGUGCAACGCGAGGCGAGUUGAAGAAGGCGCGCGCCUUUUGUGCGCAACUUGGCUAGGCGAACAAAGGCCUCAAUCACAGAGGAUUAGAAAUCUGAGCUAUACUACUCAAUACCCAAGCCCAAAUCGAUUCGAAAUGCCCUAAUCAAUUCGAAAGAAAGAAGAAAUCUUGCGGUGUCUCUUCUCUUCCCUUCAGCUCGUCUAGUCUCAUCUCUGGCCUAGG